GCUUGUUCGGGUUAAUCCCGGUUUUGACAACUGCCAGAGCUGUUCAAAAAAGGAAAUGAUUAAAUAAAUAAGACAAACCACUAAGUCAAAUUAGCAAACGAACCCCUCUACUGACUCACUCAAGGGUUUCUGAACCUCAAGAAAAGAUUUUUGAGUGAGGAGAAGUAAAGGUACCUUCCGUGUCAUUACGUAAGCAUCUCCUGCUUUGAGGAUUACGGGAAUUACCACCGGCAGCCAGCCAGGAGCUCCGCUGCCUAUUACACCUGCCUGACCCAGGCUCUCUGAGCCCAGCCCGAGGCUGGGCAGCCAAAGCCCAGCGGUUCGGGAACUGUCCGCGGACGCGUCUCCAAACCGUGCCGAGAUACCCGCGCGAAAGAGGUUUUCUCAGACGGACGUUCAGUGUUCCCUCGGAGAACCGACGCAUGUUCCAAGAAUGAGGACCUUCUUCAUUUGUCCAAACACUUCUGCGUGUACACAGUAAACCCUCAUCCACAUUCAACCCGGCUGAGUUUCCUGGGGCCUGAACCGGGAUGUCUGCCGCUGUAUUCAGUUCCUUACUAGAAGAAAAUACUAAUGUCAGGUGAGAAAAUGAAGGCACGGAGAAGACAAUGUUCUCUCGGUCGCAUAACUGGUAAGAAUAGUUUGUGCACUAGGCCCAUAAUAACAAAGGCUGACAUUUCCUGAGUGAUUGCUAUGUGCUAGGCUCUGGACAACGGGCUGUUCAAGAAUCAACCAAGUCAUUUAGUUCUCACAACAAUCCUUGGAGAUUAUUUCCUCGUUUUCAGGGGAGGAAGUGGAGGCACAGAGAGGUUUAACUUGCCCGAGUUCAAACAACUCGCAAGUAGUGAUAAGAUGCCUGCCUGGGCACCCUGCUCAACCUCUGUACUCUACUCCCUCUCCAGAGCCCAAAGCUUCUCCAAAGCCUACAGAUUAGAACUGACCUUUCAUUCAGUUCCCUCCCUGCUCCUGCUACACUUUAGGCUUGCUUAAUUCUCACACUUUGAUCAAAGCAGAUGGCAGGUUCUCUCCCAAUUCUGUUAUUAAUGAACCUGUUGGUCUCCUAGUCACCAGAGCUAAGGCACUGCAGGAGUUAACAAGCCUUUGUAAAGAAAUUAUUUGCGUGGAAGACAGCUUUCUUUUUUCUGUGAUAUCUUCUUCAUAUGCCAUGGGCUCUGUUCUCACUUCUUUCUCACAUACCAGAAGCUGACUCUAGGAGGCCUGAGCACCUUUCUAUGGUCAAUUCCUCUGCCUGACUCUAUCACACUACCACUUGUAGAUUUUGCUCACACUUCCACAACAAGAUCAAAUUUGGAUCAUAUUUUUUUCUUUGUGUUGGUAAAUCUAUUAAUUUCUGUUGGCAUGAGAAACAAAAAAUACUCAAACCAAGUGCCCAUCCCCUCUUCGUCCUCCUUGGCCAGAUAAACUGCAAAUUCAAUUUGUUCAACACGUUCUCUGAAUGCUUUUGACUUCAAAGUACUUCCGGUUUCUAGGGUAAUCUAUGUGAUUAUGAACAAUUUCUGCAUCUGGGUUUUGGUUGUCAUGGAUGCAGGGACCACACACAGAUGGAGUUAUGUAGCGACAUUCUAUCAGGCACUGGCCGCUUUAAAUAGGGCAGGUUAAGUAAGUGACUGUAUGGUAGAAAUAAAGAUUUAUGAAGACCACUUCACAGGAAAAAUUUAUUCAAUUGAAAUUCAGCAAAACUCUAAGGAGUCUUUCCGGAGUGCCAAGCAUGUGCAACUCUAACCUUGAUAUCUAAGAUACUGGUUUGGUUCUCAAAGAAUCAUGACCCCUACACACUAAUCAGUGAAAAUUUCCAACACUUUUCUAUUGUACGUAGGAUAGAGUUGAAAUAAUUUAUUUGAUUAAAAUAGUUCAUUUUAAUUGCUGAUUAAAAAUUUUAAUUUAUUAAUUUAAUCAGAGCAUAUUUAAUCACUUAUUUUAUGCCAGGCCUUAUGAUAGGCAAUGGGAAUAUAAUGGUUGUAAUAGCCAGGGUAGUGUAGGUUUUGCUGCUGUAAUAAACCAGCCCAAAGUCUCCCAAGCUUAAGCAAUAAUGGUUUAUUUUUUGCUCAUCAAAAUCUGCUAUGGAUCUAGGUUACUCCUCAGGGUAGCUGUCCUCAGGAUUCAGUGUUGUACCACCAUAUCGAAACCUGCUUUUGUUACAAUAGGUAGCUAGCCAGGCAUGAGUGGGGCAGGAGAGGGCUCCCCCCACACCCCACCAGGAAAAUCAGGAAACCAUCAUAUGGUGGCCAGGCAGUUAUUAACUAUCACUCUAAAAUAAUAAUUGGUUACAGCUGACACGAGGGAAUGGCCAUCUCCCCAUAAAUAGGGAACACCUGAAACUGAUAAUCAGCAGCUUCCAAUAAGAUCUCAGGAGUUGGGCAACUGAACUCAAGUAUGUGCAUUAAGAUGCAAAAUGGUGGAGUUUAACUGGGAUAUGACUUUCUGGGGGCAUUAAAGGAAUGCAAGAUGCCAGAAGUAGGCCAGCAUGUAAAACUCUAAGUCCAAGGUCAAAUGGGGCGCUUGACCUCCAAGAUGCCUGCUUGGGCCUCUUCCAACUGUACUUCCUUUCUUGUUGCUCUAAAGCUUUUUAAUUAACUUCCACUCUUGCCUUGAAAUUUGCCUCAGUCUCUUUUUCUGCCUUAUGCCUCUCAAUUGUAUUUUUUCUUCCGAGGCAAGAAUUGAGGUUGCUGCAGACCUGUACUGAUUCCCCGCCAGUGACUUGGAUAGCUUUCACCGCUAACAGUUUCACAUCCACUGAGUUAGGGGAAGAGAGAAGUAGAGAAUUAAGUAUUCAAAUCUUCCAUCUAAAAGUGGCACUUCUGUUCAUAUUUUAUGGGUUAAGGCAAGUCAAUGGUCAUGCCCAACUUCAGGAAAGCAAGAAAGCAUGUUAUUUUUGUGUGCUCGGAUAGAGACGAGGACUCUAUAGAAGGGAACGCUGUGAUGUGUGCCACAAGGGCCGAUUGUCUCUGCACCAGGAAACUUAUUUUCUAGUAGUGGGGAGUUAAACAUUGAAUGAAUAAUCACAAAGACGUAUGCAAUAGCAUUACAUUAAAUGCCACAAUAAUAAUAAUGAUGAAAAUUUAUUAAUUGUUCCAAGCAUUUUAUGUAUGGUCAUGUGUUUAAAUUUCUACACUCUAACUUUGUGAGACAGAUACUGUAGAAGACCAGAAUAUGCCACUUCAGAAUAUGUCUUUUUGGUAUAAGUAUUUGUUUAAGAAACAGCAGCUAUAGGAGCCACUCUGAGAACAGAGUGGAAUUACCUUUUUGUAGGGUGAAUUUAAAUCUAUAAAGGGAAUUUUCAUUUGUAAGAAUGUCUUCCUCUGAGUACUAGGAAGAAAAGGAUGGCACUAAAUUACUAGAAACUCUUAUUAAUGGAGAGGGCACUGACUUAAAUCUGCAUAACAAACUUUACCUUUGUUUACCAUGCUUUACCUGAUCACUUCCUCAUAACUGCACCCCUACCCCCAUACUCCUCUUUCUUUGUUUCAGCUGAAGAUGAUAUUUAAGUUUGAAUUCAAAGCCACCUCUUUGAAAAUUACUAAUUCCCUGACUAUCUCAUAUAUAUAUGAAAUAUACAUGUUAAUAAAUUUGUGGGGUUUUUGUUGUUGUUGUUAAUCUGUCUUUUGUUAUAGGGGAUCCCAGCUUAGAACUCGUAAAGGGUAGAGAGAAAAAUUAUCUUUUCUCCCCCCAAAUACUAUUAUUAUCCAAAUUUUACAAAGUAAGAAACUGAGAAAUACUUAUACAGAAUAAAACUUUGAAGGAAACUAAGGGAUGCAAUGAGAUAUAAUAGCAGGGGAACUAGUACUCCUCAGUGCGGUCAGGGAUGGAAUUUGCAUGUAACCCAUUGACUUACAGCAAAAGCCAUUUUUUUUUUUAGUAGAAUUCUUAGUUCUUUCAUAAUACUCCACUGGGAUAAAAUUUCAGAUAAAUCUACCUUUUACUGACUUUGACUCUUUUUUGAUCGUUGAUAAAAUGAAUUUUUAGUGUUGUGGACUUUUAAUAUUUUACCAAAAAAAUUGCUCUUGGCUGACUUAGAUUUUUACAUCCUGAAUAUAUUAUACUUUAUAAUUUUAGAUAAUAUAGAAGUAUUAUUUCUGGAUUCUUGAUAUCAUGAGAUGGUUUCAUCUGGUCUCUUGGCUUAAGUGAGAGAAUAACUUGGCUGAGAGAGCUGCAGUGGUUAGAGGUUGGGUCCUAAUCCCCUCUGCCAUCUACUGACUGAGUGAUUCUAAUUAAUUAUUUGGCACCUCUAUUCCUUUGUUUCUGUAUCAGUCUGCUAGGGCUGCCAUAACAGAACAUCACCAACUAGGUGGCUUAAACAACAUAAAUGUAUUCUUUCCCUUUUAUGGAAGUUGGAUGUCUAAGGCCAAGGCGAUAGCAGUGUUCAGGCUCUUGACACCAUUGCAAGAAGGAAUUCAAGGAUGAGUCAGAAAAUAGUGACAGUAGGAGAUUUAUUGCGAAGUGAAAAGCAUAUACUCGAGAAAGGGGAUUGUGGGGAUACUUAAGACAGAGUUGUUCAAUGGAGUUUGGAGUUUCUGUCUUUAUGGGCUUCUUUAACCAAGGGGUGGAAUAUUCAUUAAAAUUCCUGGAAAAAGUUCGGGAUUUCUCAGAACUGUGGUACCACCUAUUUUUUACACCAAAUAUGGGUGUUCUCAGACUGUCCUGAGACUGGUGGGUAUGUAAUUGCUAAUGUUAACAAUAAUAUAAUGAGGUCCUAGGAGAAACCUAGGUCAAAUCCAGUGCCAUGUUGGGUCCAGUUGGUCUUAGCCAGCUGGGUCCAUACCUUGGGUUUUCAGGGUCUUAUCAGUUCCUAGCUUCUGCAGCUAUUUCAACAGUUUCCUUUUGCUAGUCAGGCAAAACUGCUGUCUGGAAUUUUCUAUUUUCCUGCUACCACCCUGUAUUAUUCCUGUAUCAAAGGUGCUGGCAGUAUUGGUUUCUGGUAAGACCUCUCUCCUUGUCUUACAGGUGGCUGUCUUCUCACUAUAUUCUCAUUUGACCUUUUCUCUGUAUGUGCACACUCCCGGUAUCUCUUCCUCUUCUUAUAAGGAUACCUGUCCUGUUGGAUUAGAGUCCCAUCUAUAUAACCUCAUUUAACCAUAAUUACUUACUUAAAGCCCUAUCUUCAACUAUAGUCUAUUGGGGGUUAGGGCUUCAGCAUGUAAAUUUUGGGGGACACAUUCAGUUCAUAACAUUUCACCCUUUGGCCCCCUUGAAAUUCAUGUCCUCUCACAUGCAAAAUACAUUCACUCCAUCCACCCCAACAGUCCCAAAAGCUUAACCCAUUCCAGCAUCUAAAAUCCAAAGUCUCAUUAAAAUACUAUAAAAAUCAGAUAUGGGUGAGACUUGAAGUAUAAUUCAUUGUGAGGCAAAAUUCCUCUCUAGCUGUGAACCUGUGAAAUCAGACAAGUUUUGUGCUUCCAAAAUAUAAUAGUGGUACAAGCAUAGGAUAGUUUCCUCCUGGCAUUAUAGGGAAGAUUGAAAGGAUUAUAUAUGUGAGAGGCUUGGUGUGUUCUAAGUACCAAUGAAUGUCAGCCAUUAUUAGAGGAGAAGCUUUGGAGUACAUUAAAACAUUACAAGCUCUAAAAUACAAGGAAAAAAUGGCUGGGCAUGGUCCCUUAUGCCUGUAAUUCCAGUGCUU